GGGGCUGUAGCUCAGUGGCAGAGCACUUGCCUAGCAUGUAUGAGGCACUGGAUUCAAUCCUCAGCACCA
rnacentral:tRNA from 1 species